rnacentral:rRNA from 1 species
AGAGUUUGAUUAUGGCUCAGAACGAACGCUGGCGGCGCGCCUAAUACAUGCAAGUCGAGCGAGAAGGUGUAGCAAUACACUUGUAAAGCGGCGAACGGGUGAGGAAUACAUGGGUAAUCUACCAUCGAGUGGGGAAUAACCAGCCGAAAGGUUGGCUAAUACCGCGUACGCUUCCGAAUCUUCGGGUUCGGAAGGAAAGCCGCGCUGUGAGUGCGGCGCUCUUUGAUGAGCUCAUGUCCUAUCAGCUUGUUGGUAGGGUAACGGCCUACCAAGGCUUUGACGGGUAGCUGGUCUGAGAGGACGAUCAGCCACACUGGCACUGCGACACGGGCCAGACUCCUACGGGAGGCAGCAGUAAGGAAUAUUGCGCAAUGGGCGAAAGCCUGACGCAGCGACGCCGCGUGGGGGAUGAAGGUCUUCGGAUUGUAAACCCCUUUCGGGAGGGAAGAUGGAGCGAGCAAUCGUUCGGACGGUACCUCCAGAAGCAGCCACGGCCAACUUCGUGCCAGCAGCCGCGGUAAUACGAAGGUGGCAAGCGUUGUUCGGAUUCACUGGGCGUACAGGGUGUGUAGGCGGUUUGGUAAGCCUUCUGUUAAAGCUUCGGGCCCAACCCGGAAAGCGCAGAGGGUACUGCCAGGCUAGAGGGUGGGAGAGGAGCGCGGAAUUCCCGGUGUAGCGGUGAAAUGCGUAGAGAUCGGGAGGAAGGCCGGUGGCGAAGGCGGCGCUCUGGAACAUACCUGACGCUGAGACACGAAAGCGUGGGGAGCAAACAGGAUUAGAUACCCUGGUAGUCCACGCCCUAAACUAUGGAUACUAAGUGUCGGCGGUUUACCGCCGGUGCCGCAGCUAACGCAUUAAGUAUCCCGCCUGGGAAGUACGGCCGCAAGGUUGAAACUCAAAUGAAUUGACGG